AACUUUUGCGGGGAAUCAAUUGCUGCACGCCCACGCCAUCGCGCUCGAUAAACCGUGGCGUGAUUCUCGUCGAUCUCGCCUCGAAGUCUGAUGAUGGCCGAUGAUUGCGGAUUUUUAUGCAGGUGAACGAGUUAUUUGAAAUACAUGUGAAUCGCUAUACGAUGUAUCGCGUAAUAUUUUACGUGUAAAUUUACAACGAUAAUGAUCAAUAAUGAAGCAUUGCAAAGAGGAUUAAAACACGUCAAUACACGUCACGCUGGAUAGCAGAAAGCAACUAGUACGUCACGUAUAUAUAUGUGGCACGACGAAAGGAUUGAAGAAACGAUAUAAAUGAUUGCCAUGAUAAAAGAGGUACUGCUUUUGAAUUGAACAAGAUAUGUAAUUACGUUAAGAUAAAUAAAGGAUUCAUCUUCGAUUGAAAAUAACAGCAACAACCUUCGAGAAGCUUGGAUUUUUCUUUCAAUUUUAUUUUAUUCCAUAAAUACAACAAUGUUAAUAUGUUCCUGAGAGUUGAUUCUCAAAACAAAAGUUGUAUAAAAAAAAUGUCGAUUGAGGAUUAUUUAUUAAGUAGUAUAUUUCUGCAUUCAACAGAGACAGAGAUGGGCAUUGACCUGUUGAAAAAGUAACUAGUUAAAAAUUUCGAAUAAACUUGCCUUAAGUAAUUACCCAACCUUGGCUGUUUGGCACCACAAAUAUUCCCUAUUAUUAUUAUUAUGUUUUGAACUAUAAAUUAUUAAAGUAACUUUAUUGGUAACUUUAACAACUAUUAAAUUUUCAUCACUGUCCAUUUUAUACAAGGUGUCCUAAAAAUAUUGGAAACCAUCUAUAAACUGGAGAUUCCUGAAGAGGAAAAUUAGGAGAUUCCUCCUAAUUUCAAAUAACAUACUAACUAAAAAACACUAGCCAAAGACAUGAAGCCUAGUGAUAGUUGAAUAAACUUACUUCCAUAAUUUUUAUUAUUCAAAAUAUAUAAUAAUAAUUGCAAAUAAUUGUAAUGUCGAACAAUUAAGGUUAUAUGAAAAACAGAAUAAAUUAUUAUUCUGUUAAGUAAUUAUCCAACCUUGGCUGUUUGGUAUCAUGAUUAUUCCCUAUUAUUAUUAUUAUGUUUUGAACAAUAAAUUAUUAAAGUAACUUUAUUGGUAACUUUAACAACUAUUAAAUUUUCAUCACUUUCAUCCAUUUUAUACAAAAAUAUGUGUCCUAAAAAUAUUGGAAACCACCCAUGAACUGGAAAUUCCUGAAGUAAUUUCAAAUAACAUACUAAUCAAAAAACACUAGCCAAUCACAUGAAGCCUAGUGAUAGUUGAAUAAACUUAUUUUCAUAAUUUUCAUUGUUCAAAACAUGUAAUAAUAAUUGCAAAUAAUGUCGAACAAUCAAGAUUAUAUGGAAAACGGAAUAAAUUAUUAUUAUUCAAGCAUUUUUCAAUAAUUAAUCGCUCAAAGUAACUUUAUUUUUAACUAGUUACUUUUUUAACGGAUUAACAAUAGCAUAAUAGCUAAUGGUAGCGUGAGAUAACAAACAAUUAAUUAUCUCAUUGAUUAUCAAACGGAUAAAUUACCAAUAAACAACAACGCAAUAUAGCAACGAGCUUUAACAUAAAAUUCUCUGUGUCUCUCCCUGUUUUCGUACAGUGGACGAUCUAAUAAACUCUACGAAUUUAACAGUGCUUUCGUCACGACCGGUUAUCUCGAUUCAACUACUCAAUUUGCGCCAAAGAGCAGAAUUUCGAGGCCCACGCCUAUCGACAAAACCAGCAAAAUUCGGUGAAUGCAUUUAUCCAAUCAAACGUGACGAUUUGUGAUACAUCAAUAAAUCAUAUAUACGCCUAUCGUGCCACAGCAUUACGGAAGAUACAUUUUAAGAGAGAAAGAAAAAUAACACGCUUUGAGGACUGAGGAUUUCGUCCCCUCUUGUGUGAACUUCCAUAUAAUCGGAUUGGUGCAAUUGGGAUAUGCAAGGGUGGUGGAAAUUGGAGGAAGGUGGAAACGGCUUUGGGAGGAGAGGGGGAAGCAUCCGGUGUGUGUUCUCGACAGAAGAGAAGACACCCUUCAUCCCCUUUUUCCGGGCCAAAAAUCGGCCAAAAGUUCAUGUAUUAAAAGUACCUACAAGGCCAAUAAAUUAGAACUGGCGCUCUGCCAUUUCAAUCUCGCGGAUCUUGCUCGAGACAAGAACGCUGAAAACCCUUCUAUGAACCAUCAUUUUAUUCGAUGGGAACGACACGUCUCAACGACGACAGCGACAUUUAUCCGCUAUGGAUGAAAUAGAAUGGAAAAUGAUCAAUUUUCAGUCAUCGAGCUAUGUGUAAUGUAAUCUGAUUAAAUGUAAUUCUUCUGCACGAAGAUCGGAUGAUAAAACGAUAUGUAAUGAAUAUUUUUGUUGAUAUUCUAAGAACAGAAAUUAAAGAUACUGGAGAGUAUAUUUCAAUACUCUUCCACUGGAGGAAUUAUCGAAAAGCAUAGUGUUACUUAGAAAUUGUUAAUUUAUAUUCUAAAAAAGAAAAAGAAGAAAGAAAAAAUCAUAAAAAUUCGAAUGUCCUGCAAUUUUUAUAACGAUACGAUUAAAAGGUAUGAUACGUUGAAACAGUAAGAGGGAUGCGUGAAAUUUUUCCAUUGAAAAACACGUGAUCGAUGAACGGUCCAAACGGCGUCUAUCUAUCAAUCCGUGAAUUAUCAUGAGAAGCGACACACGGGACGGGGAAGAACUUAAACGUUGGAAAAUCAAUAUCCUUUGUAGGGAGAGCAUGGUCGGUCGUGAGGUUAAUGCUUGCCCUGUAUCCGAAGCAAAGUUUUCUUUUUUUGUUUCUCCUCCUGUAGCCUGUUAUACCAAAUAGGGAGAAGGAUGCAGAGAAUAAUGUAAUAGACGAGGCAGGAUAAAGAGAGUAGCAAAGAACGAUCUGUCAUUAGAAUUGUCAAAUUGAUUGAAAUUGUCUUUAAAAUUAAAACGUUUCAUGAUUGAAUCACUUUAAUCACAA
rnacentral:lncRNA from 1 species